AAAUUGAAGAGUUUGAUCAUGGCUCAGAUUGAACGCUGGCGGCAGGCCUAACACAUGCAAGUCGAACGGUAACAGGAAGCAGCUUGCUGCUUUGCUGACGAGUGGCGGACGGGUGAGUAAUGUCUGGGAAACUGCCUGAUGGAGGGGGAUAACUACUGGAAACGGUGGCUAAUACCGCAUAACGUCGCAAGACCAAAGAGGGGGACCUUCGGGCCUCUUGCCAUCAGAUGUGCCCAGAUGGGAUUAGCUUGUUGGUGAGGUAACGGCUCACCAAGGCGACGAUCCCUAGCUGGUCUGAGAGGAUGACCAGCCACACUGGAACUGAGACACGGUCCAGACUCCUACGGGAGGCAGCAGUGGGGAAUAUUGCACAAUGGGCGCAAGCCUGAUGCAGCCAUGCCGCGUGUAUGAAGAAGGCCUUCGGGUUGUAAAGUACUUUCAGCGGGGAGGAAGGUGUUGCGGUUAAUAACCGCAGCAAUUGACGUUACCCGCAGAAGAAGCACCGGCUAACUCCGUGCCAGCAGCCGCGGUAAUACGGAGGGUGCAAGCGUUAAUCGGAAUUACUGGGCGUAAAGCGCACGCAGGCGGUCUGUCAAGUCGGAUGUGAAAUCCCCGGGCUCAACCUGGGAACUGCAUUCGAAACUGGCAGGCUUGAGUCUUGUAGAGGGGGGUAGAAUUCCAGGUGUAGCGGUGAAAUGCGUAGAGAUCUGGAGGAAUACCGGUGGCGAAGGCGGCCCCCUGGACAAAGACUGACGCUCAGGUGCGAAAGCGUGGGGAGCAAACAGGAUUAGAUACCCUGGUAGUCCACGCCGUAAACGAUGUCUACUUGGAGGUUGUGCCCUUGAGGCGUGGCUUCCGGAGCUAACGCGUUAAGUAGACCGCCUGGGGAGUACGGCCGCAAGGUUAAAACUCAAAUGAAUUGACGGGGGCCCGCACAAGCGGUGGAGCAUGUGGUUUAAUUCGAUGCAACGCGAAGAACCUUACCUGGUCUUGACAUCCACGGAAGUUUUCAGAGAUGAGAAUGUGCCUUCGGGAACCGUGAGACAGGUGCUGCAUGGCUGUCGUCAGCUCGUGUUGUGAAAUGUUGGGUUAAGUCCCGCAACGAGCGCAACCCUUAUCCUUUGUUGCCAGCGGUUAGGCCGGGAACUCAAAGGAGACUGCCAGUGAUAAACUGGAGGAAGGUGGGGAUGACGUCAAGUCAUCAUGGCCCUUACGACCAGGGCUACACACGUGCUACAAUGGCGCAUACAAAGAGAAGCGACCUCGCGAGAGCAAGCGGACCUCAUAAAGUGCGUCGUAGUCCGGAUUGGAGUCUGCAACUCGACUCCAUGAAGUCGGAAUCGCUAGUAAUCGUGGAUCAGAAUGCCACGGUGAAUACGUUCCCGGGCCUUGUACACACCGCCCGUCACACCAUGGGAGUGGGUUGCAAAAGAAGUAGGUAGCUUAACCUUCGGGAGGGCGCUUACCACUUUGUGAUUCAUGACUGGGGUGAAGUCGUAACAAGGUAACCGUAGGGGAACCUGC
rnacentral:rRNA from 1 species